GAGUGCACUGUAAAAAUAAAAUUAUUUUCCUUAUUUGGGGGGGUUUAGGAACAUUUUGGGGUAGCGUCAGCCCCCCUAAAAUAGGCCUAAAGACGUCCCUGCUGUCAAGAGAGACACACACACA